UUUGUUAGAAUAAGGGGGUUCAAAAUUCCAAGGGGUGCCUAAAACCUUUUGCACAGUAACAUUUGAUCCAUAUUCUGUUUAAUGGAAAAAUUUUAUGGCUUUAAAAAAAAUCUUUGAGUAUUGUGCACAAUACUUCUAUAUUUUGGGCUGAAACAUCAAAUAUCUGACGCCGUCCUUUAACCUGAGAAGUGCAUUGUGGGACGUUCCGGUGUACAUUUGUGUGAGGCUUUUCUUAACAGGCAUACACAAGGUCAGCUUGGGUCCUCAAGGAAAAACACAGUCAUAAUUUUGUAUUUUUUUUUCUAUGAGAUUGCUCGUCUAAAAUUUUAAGAGAUUACCGUACUAAUAAUUGCUGUACUUUAGCUGUGUAGAACCCUCGGUCUAACUUAAUUUGAUCUUAUGUUUUUUAUACAGCGGUAUGCGCACAAGCAUAUUCUGUAUAAAUACAUAGAUGGCAUGUUGUACAAGUUCUGACAAAAAUGUGUAAAUAAGGUGUUUUUAUUCAUUUUUAAUUGUUCAGUGAUGCUGAAGUUGGGUUGGUUGUGCUGUCUCUAAGAGUUACCAUGCGUUUGGCUUGGACCAUCGGACUUGCGGUAGACAUAGGUUUCGGAAAUUCAGCUUCAUUAUGACGAAUGAACCAGAGGGGGUGGGGAGGGGGAGGGGCUAUCCAUUUGCUUGUUAUUUUGUACAUUUUGUGCAACAAUAAACUUGUCAUUUAUUACAUUCAA